rnacentral:ncRNA from 2 species
AUACAAGCCUCGGGGUGGUCGAAAGGCCUGAGAUUCACCAGUUGGUGGAGACCCGAUGAACCUGAUCCAGAUAAUACUGGCGUAGGGACAGGCGGCACCCCCUUCU